UAGAAAACAUCUAAGCCUUGUCUAUGAGUACAUGGAUGGAGGAAACCUGCGGGACCGGCUCAGACGUUAGUAACUUUUGCCCCACUCCCACAUCAUUCUGCGUGAGUACAAAGGUCAAGAAUCCUCUAACUGGCUGCAACGCCUUAAGAUCGCAUUGGACUCUGCCUACGGUAUGCUGCAAGUUUCCUUUUCUUUUUCACAUGUGGGCUGUUGUCCAUAUACCAUAUCCCUUCAAUGCUAGAAAUCAUCGAUGUUUUGAUUGUGUAGACAUCAUCUAAGUUUAAACGUAGGACUGGAAUACCUGCACAAAUCCUGCAGCCCACCCUUGAUUCAUAGAGACGUGAAGACUGGAAAUAUCCUACUUACUUCAAAUCUGGAGGCAAAAUUAACGGAUUUUGGCCUUACAAGGGCUUUCAGCAGUGGUACGAGAACACACACAACCAUCCAACCAGCUGGUACCCUAGGUUACCUGGACCCAGAGUAUGCAUGCACGUUCUUGACCCUGAUUUUUCAUAUUUCUGUUGAAACAACUGUUGCACAUAGCUUGCCCCUACUAACUUUUUGUUUGAGUAAAAUGUGAGACUUAGCUCUGAGCAGGUACUACGCGACCUCUCAUCUGAGUGAGAAGAGUGACGUGUACAGCUUUGGCGUCGUUCUGCUGGUGCUCAUCACAGGCCAGCCAGCCAUCAUCAUCAUCAGCGACACAGAGAGAACCAACAUCUCUCAUUGGGCACGCCACAGGCUCUCUGACAGUGUGACCGACCCGACGGUAAGAGGAGACUGCGACAUCAACUCUGUGUGGAAGGUGGCGGAGCUGGCCCUGCGGUGCACGGAGCACACAGGGCGGGACCGGCCGACGAUGGUGGAGGUCGUGGAGGGGAUCAAAGAGAGCUUGCAGCUGGAGACCUCUUUGCGCUCCAGGAGAUGCAGCUCGGAUGGAACAGGCGGUUCGGAGUUUUCGGACGGCGAGACUGUUGGUGCGCUCGAGACAGAACUAAUCGGAGAAACAUCAGCGCAUUAACAUUCCUGGAUUAGAUUUACUUUGGAUCGCUAGUUGAGGCGUGGUUUGGUAAUUUGCACUGUAUGGCUUGGAGGUGUAUGACCAAUAUUACUCAUGCUGGGAAACACGUUAAUUGUUUUUAUUUUUAUUUUACGGGAAAAACACGUUAAUUAUUUGGCAGAUGACACGGUCGGAAGAAGAGGAUCGACACGUUAUUACUCACUAGCAAAAGGGCCCGUGCGUUGCAACGGGAGAUUUUUUUUUCAUAAUCGUCAAUGGUCAUGACCA